AUUUCUGUACUGUGAUGCCAGCUGAUAUCAUUCCUCUUUUCCUAUUUAAUUGUGAUAUUGUUUUUGGAAAAUUUGUAUAUGCAUGAAUUCUGUUGGUCCUGAUAGCCUUUUCGGUUCUAGUGUCUAUCUUGCCCUGAUUAUGCUAUUUAAUUUCAGUUCUUUGGUGUCUUUUUUCUUUAUCAUAAAAAUACAUCUUCAUAGUGCUAAGUGAUGUAUGUUUAUUGUGAUAUUGGCUGAAUGGUUUUUGAGUAUUGCAUUGUCUUAGUGAAAACUGGGGUUGCUUCCUCAUUAUAUAUAUAUAUAUAAGCUAAGCCUGAAAAUUGGCUUUAAAAAAGUGUGCCACUUAUCUUAAUAACAGUACUUAAAAAUUGCCACGUGGCAUAGCCUCUUUUUUCAUCUUUAUUAAAUUUUAUUUGCAUGAUGUUUUAGGGAUUUCUGUAUCUUGAUAAACCAAGGUCAUAUCCUGGACUUGUUCUGUUACCUGUAACAUAUAGUCAUGAUUCUGUUUUCAUUUGGUUAGACAUAGUACUGCAAAUGAUUCACUUCUAAAAUAUCUCAUGUGAUGAAGAAUCUGUGAACAGUCUAGUCUACUGGGAUCAGGCACAACAUGAUCAUGUGGCUUCCUUUCUUUUUUUUCUCCCCGUCAUUGGUUGAGUCAACAAGGGAAUGGUAUCAUCCUUCUUUCUUGGAGUGAGGCUCCCUUGUCCUGAUGUUCGUCAUAUUCGUAUAUUAUUGAGCUUUUAUUACCUAUACAUGUAUAUGUGCAAUGUGCUCAUGGAAUUCAAGGAACAAUUUUGUUGUUCGUGGUUCUGUUGAGUUACAUGGUUAUCUCAAAGACGUCUUCUGACAUCAUUAUAUGUAAAUUUGGUUUUGGUCCAAGUUAGCCAAAUAUAUCUCCUAAAUAUGAAUAGGAAUACAUGAACACUUCUCUGUGUUUCCUUGACAUGUUAAUUACGCGAAUCAAAAGUAGUUCUCAUACACCAGCUCUCUGAGAAGCUUACGCAAAGACUUCCAUUUAAGCUGCACAGACUUCAGUAUCAUCAGUUUUUCAUCCUACUCGUUCUGUGUUCUUUGUUGCAACAAAGAAGAAUGUUCGCGUUUAUGAUUUGUUAAAGCACAAGCUGAUUAAGAAGCUU
rnacentral:misc_RNA from 1 species